ACUUUAAACUGGAAGGUUUCUCAGUAUGCUCAACUGUUGUGGGGAUGCUUUCCCACAUCAUCGCAAAUAACAAAACUGCUCCACUGAAAUAAGCUUGCACCUGGCUGAUCAUCCUCGAGAUAUGGAACAUGUGCUCCCUGAAUCCAGCUGCCGCCUGCCAACCCGCAGCUCUCUCGCUAGCUGAGGAACCAGCCCCAAGCUCUCCAAGCUGCUGUUGACCCCACUGACCCCUUCUGAUGGCAGGAGAUGCAAGCCUCUGCCUGCUCUUCAGCUGUUACAGUUCAAAGAUUGAGUCUAAGACACCUCUGCUCCUAAAUUCAGUGCCACAGUUAUAAGCGCAGCACGAUGAGGGAAGAAUCCAAGACUUCGUCCGUGAAGAUUGUAUUCAGGCAGCUGAAGCCACACCAAGCCUCCUAUCUGUGAGAAGGCUUUGAACUGUGAUUAGCCCUGUGACUGUUAAGACUUAUUUUGUAAUAAAUGCAAUAGACACACACACCUUCAGUUCCCACCAAUGUGUGAAGGCACACCCUCAAAUAAAUACAGUGUAAUCUCAUCUGUGCCCUAUUAUCCCACAGCUCAGUUA